UUUGGCUGUCAUUCAACAUUC
rnacentral:piRNA from 1 species